GAUGAACGCUAGCGGCAGGCUUAAUACAUGCAAGUCGAGGGACAGCACAGGUAGCAAUACUGGGUGGUAACCGGCAAACGGGUGCGGAACACGUACACAACCUUCCUUUAAGUGGGGGAUAGCCCAGAGAAAUUUGGAUUAAUACCCCGUAAUAUAGUUGAAUGGCAUCAUUUGAUUAUUAUAGCUACGGCGCUUAAUGAUGGGUGUGCGGCUGAUUAGAUAGUUGGCGGGGUAACGGCCCACCAAGUCUACGAUCAGUAGCUGAUGUGAGAGCAUGAUUAGCCACACGGGCACUGAGACACGGGCCCGACUCCUACGGGAGGCAGCAGUAAGGAAUAUUGGUCAAUGAACGCAAGUCUGAACCAGCCAUGCCGCGUGAAGGAUUAAGGUCCUCUGGAUUGUAAACUUCUUUUAUUUGGGACGAAAAAGGGCCUUUCUAGGUCAACUGACGGUACCAGAUGAAUAAGCACCGGCUAACUCCGUGCCAGCAGCCGCCGUAACAC
rnacentral:rRNA from 1 species